UACGGGGGGAGCAAGCGUUGUUCGGAUUUACUGGGCGUAAAGGGCGCGUAGGCGGCCACCGCAAGUCGACUGUGAAAUCUCCGGGCUUAACCCGGAAAGGUCAGCCGAUACUGCGGGGCUAGAGUGCAGAAGGGGCAACUGGAAUUCUCGGUGUAGCGGUGAAAUGCGUAGAUAUCAGGAGGAACACCGGUGGUGUAGACGGCUUUCUGGACCGUAACUGACGCUGAGACACGAAAGCGUGGGUAGCAAACAGG
rnacentral:rRNA from 1 species